AGCAGCCGCGGUAAUUCCAGCUCCAAUAGCGUAUAUUAAAGUUGCUGCAGUUAAAAGGCUCGUAGUUGAAUUUCGGGACCAUCAUGUCGGUCGUGCCUCGGUACGUACUGGCAUUGUUGGUUUCUCCCUUCUGACGAACCAUGAUGUCAUUUAUUUGGUGUCGUGGGAAAUCAGGACUGUUACUUUGAAAAAAUUAGAGUGUUUAAAGCAGGCUCACGCUUGAAUACAUUAGCAUGGAAUAAUGAAAUAGGACGUUUGAUUCUAUUUUGUUGGUUUCUAGGAUCGACGUAAUGAUUAAUAGGGAUAGUUGGGGGCAUUAGUAUUCAAUUGUCAGAGGUGAAAUUCUUGGAUUUAUUGAAGACUAACUACUGCGAAAGCAUUUGCCAAGGAUGUUUUCAUUAAUCAAGAACGAAAGUUAGGGGAUCGAAGACGAUCAGAUACCGUCGUAGUCUUAACCAUAAACUAUGCCGACUAGGGAUCGGAUGAUGUUAAUUUUUUAAUGACUCAUUCGGCGCCUUAC
rnacentral:misc_RNA from 1 species